rnacentral:rRNA from 1 species
UACGUAGGUGACAAGCGUUGUCCGGAUUUACUGGGCGUAAAGAGCGCGCAGGCGGUCGAUCAAGUCGAGUGUGAAAGCCCCCGGCUCAACUGGGGAGGGUCAUUCGAUACUGAUCGACUCGAAGGCAGGAGAGGGUAGUGGAAUUCCCGGUGUAGUGGUGAAAUGCGUAGAUAUCCGGAGGAAUACCAGAGGCGAAGGCGGCACCCUGGGUCUGACCUGACACUGAUCCGCGACAGCAUGGGGAGCGAACGGG